GCCGCCAUUUUGGUGUGGGGCAAAGGCUGAGGGUGCGGCAGGGUGGGGUGGUGGGUGUUAUCGCUACUCCUCGGCUCACGGGCCCAGGGAGUGUGGAGGCGACCGGGAGUCAGCGGUGCCUUCUCCUGGUGCAGCGCGAGAGGAGGGUCCGUGUCCCCGCGGUCCGUUAAGUGUGGGGCCGUUUCAUGUCACCUCAGGCUGUGACGAGGAAAGGAAGAUGCCAAAAUCCUCAGUAAUGGAGAGCAGGAAGGAGUCCCACUUUCAUCUGGAGCAGGCACCUCUGAAGCUGGCAAAAAAUCCAUUCCAUUGUUAAACGUGGAUAAUUCAGGGAGCAGGUGAUGGGCACACAAUUGAUCCAGUUUAACAUGAAAAGCCUCGUGCCCACGAUUGAUAAGGCAGCCACCAGUGUGAGUAUUGGCAAUUAGCACAGCAGCAGGACAUUCCUCAGUGUCACCUCAAAGGAAAUCGGAGGUGAGGGGACUGCCAGAGGCUGAUCAUGCAUGAAAGUGAAUCCUUCCUUUCCUCCCCACCUUUUCUGGAUACCAGGUAAGAUCAGAGCAGGAUAAAAGUGGCUUUGUUUAGACACCAGUAACCUAAGCAGCAAAAUAUUAGGGAUUAUGGAGCAAAUGGGAGGUGGAGCAUAUUCUGUUUAGAUGGAGGGAUAAGGUGAUGGUUUAUGCUCCUGGAACAGCCUCCUGAUAUCUGACUGGUCAUUUUGUUUGUCUCUUUCCCCCUCAACAAAAUGCAUUUACUUGAUUAACCUUACCAAAAGUCUUGAAAACCAUCAAAUGGCAAAGCAACAGAGGAAUAAAACAUUCUUCUUCACGUCUGUGGCUGAGCUCUGGCUCUUGAGGCAGACAUUUGCCAGUUUGCUGGGAGAUGAACACCCGUGAGGAGCAGAGAUGGCAGCUGGAUCCUGCUGCUUCACACCUUCCUGAGCUCUAAAAACCCAGGGCUGAGCUCCAGGACACACAGCCGAGGAAAAGCCUCUCCCUCGGUGUGAUUUGGUGGAUUUAUUUGCAAAUGCCCUCACAGAGUUGAUCAGAUACAGAAAAAGCUCUGAUUUUUCAAAAUCACUUAAUGGAUUUCAGUAUCCACUUGACAUUAAUAACAAUUAAUGACCUGUGCACACACAUUUCCUUAACAGCUUUGAUAAAAUUAGGAUCGGUGUAGCAGCAUUUUUCAAAAAGCUUGGAGGGGAAAAUAUAUCUGCAUAGAGAACUUUGCAGUAUAGGGAAAAAUCCAAAAUCUACAGCAAAAGCAUGGUGUAAUUCUUAUUUAAGUGUUUUCAAUUUGCUGCUGUAUGUAUAGCAAAAGAGAAUUGCAACACUUUUCCAUGGUUAGUUCAAUGUAGUUUCCUUCAAUGAGGGUAAAUAAAUUUGCUUUAAAUUCCCCAGGGUUUUAAAAACAACUUGUUAGGUAUGCAGUGAUAGAUGAAAAAAAUAAAAUUUGUUUCUUCUUUUUCUAAAAAUAUAUUAAAAUAACUUAUUCACAAUAUAGCUAAGUAAUAAUCCAAAUGCAGUGAGGUGAGGAAAUCUGAAUCUCUUGGGAGCUUCUAAACCCGAGCAAAAAAAUUUAAAAUAAAAGACCCACCAAACUCAGACCCUUGUACACUCAAAGUAGAGACAGAGCCAGGAGCUGAGUGGGCAGCUGAAGCCAGCUGGGUGGUGUAAAUGCAGGAAUUCUGAUUUUCUCCAGCUACCUGGCCUUAAAGCUGGGCUGCUGUUUACUUUUUAAAUUGACUUUGUCUUCCUGUAGCUUCUGACAGAAAGUUACAUACAAAGUCUGUGAUAAAUGCAGAAUGUGUGAACUUCUGCUGAAUACGCUUAAUCCCAAAGGAUUUCUCUGGUGUUUACUGUCAGUACCUAGUUAGGUGCUAUAAAUCCAGUUGCACCUGAGAAAUUCAGGCUGCAGAAGAUGAAGUAGUUGAGGCAAAGUGUGGCCAUUUAUACAGUUCCAGCAUGGAGGUGCUUGUUCAUGUCCCCAGAGUGCUUUGUCACUGCACCUGAGCCCUGCUCAGGCCAGAACUAACCAAAGUGGGAAAAAGUGAGGUUUUAUUUUUCCUCCUAGUUGACAAAAUUGUCCUAGGCCCUCCAAGAAUCUUGUGCAAUUGAAUGAUUUUGUCCUUUCUUUAUAGAAAACUCACCUCUGCAGGUAUUAUUUCAAGAAAACUUGUCUCCUGAUGAAGGAAUUUCAUCUCUAUUCUGAAAAAGCCAACUCUGCCAGGUUUAAGCACAGAAGUGGGUGAACUUUAUUAAAACCCUGAGGCAAGAAAGCUCAUCUAAAAUAGUCAAAUGGAAAUUAAAAGUUCCAUAGGUAGGACAGAAUAAAAUCCUAGACUGGAAAAGUUA